CUCGCGCCGGCGACUUGCUCUGCGCCCCGACCCCAUAUCCGGCGUCGCCCUCCACAGCCUCAACGUGCAGGCUGUUCACCUCCGCCAUCGAUGUCCAUUCACCGCCGCCCCUAGGCCAUUCACCUCCGCCACCCCAGUCCGUUCUCCUCCGCCACGUAUGUCCGUUCACCGCCACCCCAAGAAUCCCCGCUGAGCCUCGUCCGCAACCCCGGCCCUCUUUGCGUCCACCCAGGUCCACAUUGUGGGGCCAUCGUGUUCUCUUCACCGCCACUCAGGUCCGACGAGCCGCCGCAGGCAGGAUCCUCUGCGUGCUAGCCUCGGUGCUAGCCCUACACGAUGGCACGGCACCAUUCACUGCUACCACCAUGGGUCGUUCAAUGACACAGCGUCGAGUCGUUCGACACCGCAGCUCAGGAGUUUGCCUCCUUUCCCAACCUCCACUAUGCUCUAGCUAAGCACAAAAGGGGGACGGGUACUUGUUGUAAUGCUUGACAUCAAUCUACAAUCGGCAGUUAGAGAAAGAAUAGUAGCAAGUCCAAGCUCUCUUUGAGUGGAGGUACAUAACCAAUUCAAAUGCUUGUUUUGAUUAUGUUUAAGGAAACUCAUAAUCUUUAUCUUUGUCCACUGUUAGCUAUGUAAAACAACUCAAUAAAAGUUCACUUUUCAAUGCUUUAAAUAGUUCAAUUGGUAAAAAUAGUAGGUGUUCAUUCUACAAAAAAGCACUGACUUUUAUAUGUGUAAAGAAAGAAAUGGAAAUAUGUAAGUUCAUACAGGGACAUAUAUAUGCUGAACUUGCGUCCAGCACACGAGCAUUUGCGUCCACCACUAAGGGGCAUUUGCAUCCCGCACAUCAGCUACAUGCUCAACAGUUGCACACUGUCGCCAUGGACAUGCACAAAUGAUAUGAAGUAGAAGUUUGUUAGUUCAGUUUUUUUAUUGAUUUAACUUGUUUUAAGUAGUAGUGCAGCAAUAAAAGGUGUAGUUGUACUGAGUUUUAGUUGCUAUAUGGGGAACCCAGUGGCCAUUUAUUUUGGUUUACAGUUCAGCUUGUCUAUUCUUUUCAGUCCGUAUGCUUUAUUGUGCAUAAUCUUGAGGAAAUCCCCAAAAAUCAUGUGUGCACUCAAGGUAAUUAAGUGGCUUUGUAAAAUCUUAUAGUCCAUCCCAGACUAAGCAAAACAGUACAUAUUAGUCUUGGUUUGUGGUUGGACAUGCAAUCUGGUUUCAUAGAUUCUUCUGCUCAAACUGGAAAUACCUAGUUUUAGGUAAUCCUACUAGUUCAGUGCUAGUACUUCUAUUUUAUGUUUAUCUUACAAGUGGAAAAUGUCGAGGCUGGUCCUGUUGCCAAUUUUUCAUAAAUAUUCUAAGUAGCCUGAGACACAUCCUGUCCUCUAUACAGAUUCAGAGUUUGACACGUCAAUGGAAGUUUGUUCUCAAAACUAAAAUUGUUCUGCAUGUACUGAUAGAUUAGUUGUUAAUUAUUGGAGUGUUUUGUUCUUGCAGAAUAAAAAUAUGAUGUAUGCAUUGCUUCUUGUCCCAGCUGAGAGAACACUCAUGUUAAAAAGUAUAAAGCAGUUUUGAAGCAAUUCCCAGUGUCUUUAGAAGCAUUCAUGGUUAAAAAGCAACGACAACCUCCAUUCGAGUUGAGAAAUGGUCAUCGUCCAAGUUAAGCAGUAGGUGCCGUCCAAGUUCAGAGAGGGUUGUAUGCAAGUACAGAAGUUUGUUUCAGUGAGAAAAAAUGCGGGGUUUUGACAAUAUUCUGUAUGAUUCAUUUGUUCAUCCUUAGAACUUGGCAAAAUUCAGUCUAGUUUUCUAUGAUGGAGGCACAUAUGAAGUCUUGUGCAAUGGUUA